CGAAGCUCUGACAGACAGUUGGAAAACCUACAGGAAGCAAGAGGGAUCACGGGGAAAGCCCAGAGGAAUCAUUAGAAAUGUCAGAAAACGUCUAAAGGGGGUCUGUUGGUAAAAUAUCUAGAGGGGAUGUCACAUGAAGAAGGGCUGAGGUCGCUUGGCUUGUUCAGCCUGAAGAGACUGGGGUGAGACUUCGCAGCAGCUUCCAUGGAAGUGGAGGGGGAGCCCUUGAUUUCCUCCUGGAGACCAGCGAAGGGCCUGCGGGAUGAGCGUAAAGAUGUUGUGGAGGUUUUGGUUGGAUAUUAGAGAAAGUUUCCUCACCCUGAGGGUCGCUGACACCUAACACAGGCUCCUCAGGGAAGUGGUUAGGGCACUAAGUCUGACAUAAGUGUUUAGACAACACUCUCAAGCCCAUGGUGUAAUUCUUGGUGUGGUCCUUUGCAGGGCCAGGAGUUUAACUUUGGUAAUCCAUGUAUAACCCCUUCAGCUCAGGAUACUCUGUGAUUCUAUGGAUUUGGGAAAGGAAGAAGGAAAUAGACAUAAAAAAGUGGAAAGUCAGGGAAGCGUUGGGCCCCACUGCAAACUCGAAGCCCAAGGAAUGAGAAACACCUGAGGUCAGUAUCAGAAAAAGGAUGACAUUCACACUUCAGGAACAUGAACACGGACAUACAAUUAGGAAGGCCAUUCUGCCAUCUUCUUUCAGAGCUGACAAGAAGCUUCAGCAUUCAAGCCUAGCAGAAAAUUCUACUCAAGCAUUAUAGUUUCUAAAUCUAACUCCUGUCCAUCCAUUGUUAAAAAGAAGUAAGAUGUUCCAAUGUAGCUUCUGUGGCUCUCAUCUGUAUCCCAGCACUCAUCAUGCCAUUUCCAAAGAUUUGUGCUUCUUGUGUGUGCCUUCCUGUUUUGUUUCUCUGUUAAGAACAAGCCUGAGGAUGCAGAAACAGAAGGAUUCCAGUGGUCUGUAGUCACUGCCAAGUGCUUCACCAAAUGUUGCUCGUAAAUACAACAAAAUGAGCACAUCUAUGUAAUGAUUGACAUGCUACAAAAUCUAGUCACACAGUCAAAUAUUAAAAAAUCUUUCAGAAUUUGGUACUAAGGCAAGUGUCAGUUACUUAGAUUUCAUGUAUAUUACUUUUUUCCAUGACCUGUGAUGGAAAAAGAAAUCUCUUCCUUUAGUAUUUCUGCUUUAAACUAUUUGUAACUUGUCUCAGAGGUAUAUUAGGAUACAAAAUGAAUAUGUAAGCAGAAAGUGUCAUAUAUUAUCACUUCUGUCCUCCUCCUUAUUGAUUGUAAACUGCAAGCACGAGACGUUCUCCAUGGAAAUAUGUUGAUUAGUCUCUAGAUGUAGCUGACAGUGAGUCAACAACAUACUCUUUAUGUCAUCCUUUUCUUAAGUCAAUAGAGUGUUUUUCUAAAUUUAUAACAUUCUUUUUUUAGAAGGAACACAGUCCUUCAAACCAAGAAAAAUUAUAUGCCACCAUGGUUAAUAUUUUAAAGGCAGUCUCUGUGCUUCCCUUGAAUGAGUCAUAUUUAAAGGAAGUUGCUGUAUUUAUAGCAAACAGCAGAAAUAUUAUUCUGAAAAUAAUAAAUGUUUUCACUUUAUUUUUGCCUGAUUUUGUUAAUCAAAUAUGAAACAAUAUGUAAUUAAGUUUAUAUGAAUUAAAAUUUAACUUG